rnacentral:rRNA from 1 species
UACAGAGGUGCCAAGCGUUAGGCGGAAUCACUGGGCUUAAAGCGCGUGUAGGUGGACGGGUAAGUAUCUUGUGAAAUCCCACGGCUCAACCGUGGAACUGCUGGGUAUACUGCCUGUCUUGAGGCACUCAGGGGCAGCUGGAACAAAUGGUGGAGCGGUGAAAUGCGUAGAUAUCAUUUGGAACGCCAAAGGCGAAAGCAGGCUGCUGGGAGUGAUCUGACACUGAGACGCGAAAGCCAGGGGAGCAAACGGG